UUCAGAAUGUAAGUCAUUCUACCAUUUCCCAUAGUCAUAUUGAUGUUAAUGAAUCUAGACAUAUAUAUCUAUCUUGAUUCAUUAACAUCAAUAUGAAGAAAUGCUAGAAAGACUUACAUUGUGAA
rnacentral:misc_RNA from 1 species